CGAGAACAAUCUGGCAAGUUCUAAAAUCUACAAACUGCAAAAAACCCAGAGAGAUGGGAGGGCCCCAGCCCCUGAAGGCCCACGAGGCAAACUGACCUGUUUUAAUAGUGGUGUUAAAUACCUCCACAGGGAAUAGCUGGAAGGAGUCACUGAGACGAGGGGACUUGGCGUCCGUUUCUGGGAAGUGGCACCUCAUGGUAUGGCAACUCUCCCAUUCAGCCAAGUUACCUUUGCCACAUCAAACCAAGUCUCAAGUAGAAGCCGACUUUUGUGCUUGGAGGCUGGGAGAAUGCAGGUUGGGUCCUUCCCAGGGGGUGAGUUACAGUGCAGAUGUGAGUUCUUUUCCUUUCUUUAUUUUACAUUUCACAUAGCAGAAAAAAAAAAUAUUUAUUUUUUUAGUUAUACGGACAGACUGUAUUUUGACAUUUCAUACAUAUAUAGAGUAUAACUUCCCAUUCUUGUGGUUGCACAUGAUGUGGAGUCACACUGGCCGCGUCUUCAUAUGUGAACAUGGCAAAGUUAUCUCUGACUCAUUCUACUGUCCUUCCCAAUCCCAUCCCCUUCCUUCCCACCACUAUCCCCUUUCCAAUCCAGUGAACCUCCACUUCUUCUUCCCCUCUGCCUAUUGUGAGUCAGCAUCCACAUAUCAGAGAGAACAUCUGGCCUUUAAUUCUUUGGUAUUGGCUUAUUUCGCUUAGCAUAAUAUUCUCCAGUUCCAUCCCUUUACCGGCAAAUGCCAUAAUUUCAUUCUUCUUUAUGUGUGAGCAAUAUUCCAUUGUAUAUACAUACCACAUUUUCUUUAUCCAUUCAUCUAUUGAAGGGCACCUUGGUUGGUUCCACGGUUUAGCUAUUGUGAAUUAAGCUAGUAUAAACAUUGAUGUGGCUGAGUCACUAUAGUAUGCUGAUUUUAAGUCCUUUGGGUAUAUGCUGAGGAAUGGGAUAGCUGGGUCAAAUGGUGGUCCCAUUCCCAGUUUUCUGAGGAAUCUCCAUAUUGCUUUCCAGAGUGGUUGCACCAAUUUGCAGUCCCACCAGCAAUGUAUUUGUGCACCUUUUUGCCAACAUCCUCACCAACAUUUAUUGUGGUUUGUAUUCUUGAUAAUUGCUAUUCUGACUGGAGUGAGAUGGAAUCUCAGUGUAGUUUUAAUUUGAAUUUCUCUAAUUGCUAGAGAUGUUGAACAUUUUUACAUCUAUUUGUUGAUGAGUGUAUUUUUUCUUCUGUGAAGUGUCUCUUCAGUUCCUUUGCCCAUUUAUUGAUUGGGUUAUUUGGGGUUUUGUUUGUUUGUUUAAAGUUUUUUGAGUGCUUUAUAUAUCUGGGAUUAAUGCUGUAUCUGAGGUGCAUGUGGUAAAGAUUUUCUCCCAUUCUGUAGGCUCUCUCUUCAUGUUCUUUUUUUUUUUUUGCUGUAAAGAAGCUUUUUAGUUUGAUGUAAUACCAUUUAUUGAUUCUUGAUUUUACUCCUUGUGCUUUUGGAAUCUUUUUGAAGAAUUCAGUUCCUAAGCCAACAUGAUAUAGACUUGGGCCUACUUUUUCCAUUAGACACAGGGUCUCUGGUCUAAUUCCUAGGUCCUUAUUCCACUUAGAGUUGAGUUUUGUGCAUGGUGAGAGAUAGGGGUUAAAUUUAAUUUUGCUACAUAUGGAUCCCCAGAUCUCCAGUUUUCCCAGCAUCAUUUGUUGAAGAGAUCAUCUUUUCUCCAAUGUAUGUUUAUGGCACCUUUGUCAAGUAAGAGAUAACUGUAUUUAUGUGGUUUUGUCUCUGUGUCUUCUGUACCACUGGUCUUCAUUUCUGUUGUGGUGCCAAUUCCAUGCUGUUUUUGUUAUUAAACUCUGUAGUAUAGUUUGAGGUCUGUAUCUUGACGCUUCCUGCUUCACUUUUCUCGCUGAGAAUUGCUUUGGCUAUUCUGGGCCUCUUGUUUUUCCAAAUAAAUUUCAUGACUGCUUUUUCUAUUUCUAUGAAGAAUGUCAUCAGAACCUUAAUAGGAAUUCCAUUAAGUCUGUAUAGCACUUUUGGUAGUCUGGCCAUUUUGAUAAUAUUAAUUCUGUUUAUCCAAGAACAUGGGAGAUCUUUCCAUCUUCUAAGUUCUUCUUCAAAGUCUUUCCUUAGAGUGCUGUAGUUUUCAUUGUAGAAGUCUUUCACCUCUUUUUGGUAGACUGAUUCCCAAAUAUUUUAUUUUGUUUGAAUGGGAUCAUUUUCCUAAUUUCUCUCUCAGUUGAUUCAUCACUGAUAGAUAGGAAUACCAUUGAUUUAUGGGUGUUAAUUUUAUAUCCUGCUACUUUGCUGAAUUCAUUUAUGAGUUCUUGAAGUUUUUUGAUGGAGUUUUUUGGAUCUUCUAAAUAUAGAACCAUGUCAUCAGCAAAUAGGCAUAGUUUGAGUUCUUCUUUUCCUAUUUGUAUCCCUUUAAUUUCUUUCUUCUGACUAAUUGCUCUGGCGAGGGUUUUCAGGACUAUGUUGAACAGAAGUGGUGAAAGAGGGCAUCCCUGUCUUCUUCUAGGUUUUAGAGGGAAUGCUUUAAUUUUUCUCCAUUUAGAACAAUAUUGGCCUUGGGUUUGGCAUAUAUAGAUUUUACAAUGUUGAGGUAUGUUCCUACUAUCCUUAAUUUUUCUAGUGUUUUGAGCGUGAAAGUAUGCAAUGAACUUUCCAAAUGCUUUUUCCGUGUCUAUUGAAAUAAUCAUGUGAUUCUUGUCUUUAAGUCUAUUUAUGUGACGAUUGAUUUAUGUAUGUUGGACCAGCCUUGCAUCCCUGGUAUGAACCCAACUUGAUCAUGGUGCACUAUCUUUUUAGUGUUUUUUAAUGUGAUUUGCCAGUCUUUUGUUAAGAAUUUUUGCAUUAUGUUCAUCAGGGAUAUUGGUCUGAGAUUUUCUUUCCUUGAUGUGUCUUUGUCUGGUUUUGCUAUCAGGUUGAUAUUAGCUUCAUAGAAUGAGUUGGAAGGGUUCCCUCCUUUUAUAUAUCAUGGAAUAAUUUGAGGAGGGUAGGUGUUAGUUCUUCUUUGAAGGUCUGGUAUAACUUGGCUGAGACUCACUCUGGUCCUCGGCUUUUCUUUCUUGGUCAACUUUUGAUGAUGUCUUCAAUUUCAUUGAAAUUGAUCUGUUUAAAUUUUCUCUGUCCUCCUGAUUCAGUUUGGGCAGGUCAUAUGUCUUUACAAAUUUGUCAAUAUCCUCAAGAUUUUCUACUUUAUUAGAGUAUAAAUUUUCAAAAUAGUUUCUGAUUAUCAUCUGUAUUUCAUAAGUGUCCAUUGUGACAUUUUCUUUUUCAUCGUGAAUUUUAGUAAUCUGAGUUUUCUAUCUCUUUGUUCAAUUGGC
rnacentral:lncRNA from 1 species